rnacentral:lncRNA from 1 species
CUCUGCAUUGCCUAGCAUCCUCACGCUCUGUUCUCUGAAGCUGUCUCUGCUUCAAUGUCUGUAAAUCUUAACGAUGACUGGCCCCGUUUGAGUCACACGGGCCAUUGGUCUACACUUUGAAGAUGGGGUGAUAUGUGAUUGAAUCCACCACUCACCCACAUGAGCGCUGGAGGAGGUUGGGGGUGGCUAUCCAACGUCUUCAGUGUCGUUUUUCUUCACCUUUAGUGAACAUGCCACUCACCGGGGUACCCUGUCCAAUUGCUGCUGCUGGAGAACUAGAAACCAUACGUGAGUGUUGACCACAUAGCCUUGCACCAUCCAGCUCGGCUUCUGGAGAACUAGGGACCACAUAGCCUUGCACCAUCCAGCUUGGUAGUUACUAGCCCUAUGUAUUGCUUUACAUGUAUUUUAUUUUCCUUGCUUUUUUAUCUUGUAAUCUGAUCAACCCAUUAGAAUUUGGAAAUUUUAGCAAAAGCAACCCAAGUCCUGAGUUUGUCCGUUUGUUUAGCUCAUGUCAAAAGGGGAAAUGGGAAAUUGGUUUCAUGGCAAUAGAAGGACAGGGAGAUGGUCUUAGGAACUGCAGACUUCAGGGACUCAAAUGAUGUCACGGCCACAAUUUAUCAUCGCCGUGAUACCCCCUUCUUGACUUUCUGGGCCCUGCGUAGUUUUUACUUGUACACUGGCUUCCUCUCCGAGCAAGACAUCUGACCUCUGGAGGCUUGCAUGGCUGUCUCCCUCCUCUGGGUCUGUUCCUUCCUUCAGGGAAAAGGGAGGGAGGAGUGGGGAGGGGGGCAGAGAGGAGGGAAGAGAAAGGCUUAUAAGCCUCGGGAAACUUAAUAAGGCUCCGGAGUUGAGGUUCCCCUCCACCCACAAGUUGCACAGAGAGCUCCGAGCUCCUCCGGUGACUCAGCUUUUGUGAGUCAUCACCCAUGCUAGGUGACAAAUAUUCCUGAGUCACCCCCACUCCUGUUAAGCGACCAUUAUUAAACUUAUUGGUUCAUCAAGCUGAACUUGGGAGGGGCCAUUCGUUGGGCUCUGUUGUUGGUGCCCUGACUUGGGUGCACGGAUAUUUGUUCAUGUCUCCCAAAGUCUUGGACUGAUUAACACACUCACCGUUGUCAUUUCUGGGGUCCCACGGCCACCCACGUGGCCAUCAGCAUUCAGACAAAAUGUCCAGUCAUCCCAGGUGCUGGCCUUUCUGGGGCUAGCCGUGCCUGCGCCAUCAACGUUCAUCCCAGGGACUUAUGGCCAUGUAAUGGAUGGGUGGCGUGAGUACAUAAGCCCCCAUACGCAUGCGCUAAGUGACCUUUAGAAGCAGAUACGCCCUACCCACUCUCUCCAUGUUUCUUCCAGACAGGCGUGUGCACACACCCUCUGCCUACUUUUUACUAAUAAAACUAUUAAGUGGGUUUUGUUGUCUCUCUUGUGGUGUGUUCGCGCACACAGUAAGUAAUACCAUCUCCACAG